rnacentral:rRNA from 1 species
GUCUACAGCCAUGCCACCCUGAACCAGCCCGAUCGCAUCUGAUCUUGGAAGCUAAGCAGGGUCAGGCCUGGUUAGUACCUGGAUGGGAGACUGCCUAGGAAGACCGGCUGCUGUAGGUG